AAGGUGAGUUUGGUCUCCAGAUGCUGUGCUGUGUCCAUUAGCAGCUCAUCUCUGUUGUCAAUCGCUGCCUCUGCCUCACGACGAAAAUUGGCCCAUUUCCGAAAGUCAUCUUCACUCAAAACCUGUGCAACAGGGAUACAGGUCUGAACUGGACUGAGUCAAUGAGAAAGAUUGACCAAGGUUUGCUAAUUUUAGCCGUUGGAGCAGCUGGUGAAUCCUCUCCAAGGAGAUCCCUGAUGGUUUCAUCAGUGGUGGCGCUGUAACCUUGAGACAUGAGAAGACAUUGGGAACAUUACACCUGAAAUUAAACAAGAAUGGACCACACAGCGCUGCUUAUAUUUUUCUCCAGGAUCAGCAGACUCCAUUUUCAUUAACGCUAUCAAAUGCCACGAAAGAAACAACAUCAUCAUCUGUUUCCUUCUCAGGAUUACACUGACAGCAACAUAUUAAUUGAUGAAACCAUCUCAUAUUUCAACAAAACAGCAAAACCUGUCAAGCAUAGAUGCACUCACAAAACAUUCAAGCUUGGAUAAUUCUUGUAGCCACCUAGCUCCAUAAUCCUAAAACCUCUCAAGAUAUAGCGAUAAAGUAUAAAACCCAUACAAGAGGCAUUAGGAAAUGUCUGGGAACCCAACUGGGUUUGCGGAGGAGGCAGCCAAGCUAAUGGCUGGCACCUCCUUGUGGCGGAUGUCCAGUGCAGGUACUCCAUAGGGAAGGUAUACAGUGACCGGAUAAUGGGUUGGAAAAGGACUUAAAAAGAGGUGUCAAUAAAGGAGCGAAUGGGGGAUGGUUUGGGACCCCUAUGAUUGAUACGGCAGGGAGCUAACCCCCAUUAUUAUAGUCCACCUUAACCCUCCUAUGAGCUGGUGGUGGAAGGUAAGGUCCUGUCAAUGGAUUUGCUUGAGUGACCUGGGUGGAAAAAGAGGGGGAGCUGGUAAAAAGCCCCC